rnacentral:rRNA from 1 species
AUUGAACGCUGGCGGCAGGCUUAACACAUGCAAGUCGAGCGGAGAUGAGGUGCUUGCACCUUAUCUUAGCGGCGGACGGGUGAGUAAUGCUUAGGAAUCUGCCUAUUAGUGAGGGACAACAUUCCGAAAGGAAUGCUAAUACCGCAUACGCCCUACGGGGGAAAGCAGGGGAUCUUCGGACCUUGCGCUAAUAGAUGAGCCUAAGUCGGAUUAGCUAGUUGGUGGGGUAAAGGCCUACCAAGGCGACGAUCUGUAGCGGGUCUGAGAGGAUGAUCCGCCACACUGGGACUGAGAAACGGCCCAGACUCCUACGGGAGGCAGCAGUGGGGAAUAUUGGACAAUGGGCGGAAGCCUGAUCCAGCCAUGCCGCGUGUGUGAAGAAGGCCUUUUGGUUGUAAAGCACUUUAAGCGAGGAGGAGGCUACUUAGAUUAAUACUCUAGGAUAGUGGACGUUACUCGCAGAAUAAGCACCGGCUAACUCUGUGCCAGCCGCCGCCGUAAAAC